AUCGUCGUCUUCACCUUUUCAUCAGCUUUUUCGGCAUCCAUCUCGCACAAACUUUUUAAAAUCCAAAUCUGUCGUGCACUAUUGCAUAAGCAGAGCCGUGGCUGAUUUGCAAAUGAUUUGCCACAUUAUCCAGUGUCACUCGUCUAUUCCAUAGAGCAUAAGUUCAUGAGCACGUUCAAUGUUGUCAUCGUGGAUGUGGACGGGCGUCCAGCUGUUUUUUCAUAACACUUGUGCGAUCUUCUUUGAACUUUUGUGCCCAUUCAAACACACUUCGUGACAAAACACUUUCUCCAUAAUGUGCAUUAAAUCUUUGAUAAAUAUAGGCAUCAAACAUAACCUCCGACCACAAGAAACGAAUCACAGCAUCCUGCACUGUUUUCCUGCAAAUCACCAUUGCAAAGCGCCAUUACUCGCGCAACGGUCACAAACGAAUUGACGUAACACAAAGAAACCUGCGCAGCAGCACUGAACAGAUAUUGACGUCAUACGAAGAGUGCAGAUGGAUCAAUACGGUCGACAGAAGUUUUAACUAUCUGGAGUGCGGAUAAAUUUUUACUGAGAGUCGUAUAGGAAUCUAUAAUCUGGGGAGCAUCUCGGAAGCCAUGCCGGCUGACGAGUUCGCUGGAAAUCGAAACAGAAGCAAACCAAGACUGCAACCACCUUAACGAACCGCUAUUAUCACUGGCAAGGUCAUCGGGCAGACCGGAUCUAAUCAUGCUCACGCCGACCAUGCUUCCUGUGCACUCGUUCCUCUUUCUUAACGACGUCAACCAGAAGAUCGGGUGGUAAAAAAUUCGAAAUCGAGUUGAUUGAAAAUCUCAAGGAAUAUUAAAAAAAAAUACGAAUAAACAAUUUGAUAUAGAAAUCAUCCAUUUUGGGCAAAGAAAAGAAACAAUCAGAAAAAGGAAUAACCACAGAAGCUCUGAAUUUCAUUGCUUCCUAAUGGUACUUCCUUGGAUAUUUUUACAUUCUGGAGGCGUGAACGAACUCUGAAAAACAGAAACGACUUCUAUCGGAUGAUCGAAAGAACUACCUGGACACUGAGUAUAAUUAUUCACACGUGCGGAUGCCAUUUCCGGCAUGUUUCUCCAUGAAGAAGGUCAGCUUCAGUUUUUGCCACUUGUAGAUAGAAGUUGAAGUGGCGGACGUCUUAACGAGGUUGCUAGAAUGUCAAAGAAAUAGAUGAGGGAAAUAUUAUGAAGAUAUAUUUAUGAAUAUCUAAUUGAGCAUUUAAUUAAGAACUUAAUCGAAAGACCAAAAUAAGUUGGUUCUUGAGACCAAGUACCUAUCUAAGUAUAAUAGUCUUUUGUACUUACGGUUUAGUAAGAGGACUCGAGUAAAACGAUUACUCGUUAAAAGGAACAAUAGAAUAAUCAUGCCUCCGCAGACGGUGGUCUCUGCUUUCAUGCCUCAUCGCGGAGAAUCUCAGCGAAAAAAGUAUCCCGAAGCGUGAGCUGAAAGGUGGCUAUGUAGGCUGCCUAGUGAAUGCCGUCGCCAUGGUGGAGCUGGCGUGUAGCAACUCCCUAAGUCCAGGAAUCUAAUCCCGCGUCAGAAAGACAAAAUUCGCUACGGAGAAAAGUAAACAAAAAUAUAUAUAUAGGGAAGAAGAGACAAAGAUUAAAGAUCGUUAAGAAUUAAAGGUAAUUUAAUGAUAAAAGGGAGAAAGAAUUGUGUAAAAAUUCUACUGGGAAAGAAAAGAAAGAAGAAGCCUCCAACGAGAAAGACGUGCUCAGAAGCGAGUCCCGCGUAGCGCCAUGUAGAGGAGCAGGAAGAAAAUAUUGGUAAUCUCCUCGAACGACGAGCGCUUGAUAUUCACAAUUAGAACUCGAUAUCUUAGCUUCUUAUAAUAUCCUAAUAAAAUGUUAUUUAUCGAUUACAA